rnacentral:rRNA from 1 species
UAAACGAUGUCAAUUAGUUGUUGGUUCUUUAUUGAAUCAGUAACGUAGCUAACGCGUGAAAUUGACCGCCUGGGGAGUACGGUCGCAAGAUCAAAACUCAAAGGAAUUGACGGGGACCCGCACAAGCGGUGGAUGAUGUGGAUUAAUUCGAUGCAACGCGAAAAACCUUACCUACCCUUGACAUGUUCGGAAUUCUGCAGAGAUGCGGAAGUGCUCGAAAGAGAACCGGAACACAGGUGCUGCAUAGCUGUCGUCAGCUCGUGUCGUGAGAUGUUGGGUUAAGUCCCGCAACGAGCGCAACCCUUAUCAUUAGUUGCUACGCAAGGGCACUCUAAUGAGACUGCCGGUGACAAACCGGAGGAAGGUGGGGAUGACGUCAAGUCCUCAUGGCCCUUAUGGGUAGGGCUUCACACGUCAUACAAUGGUCGGUACAGAGGGCUGCCAACCCGCAAGGGGGAGCCAAUCCUUUAAAACCGAUCGUAGUCCGGAUUGAGGUCUGCAACUCGACCUCAUGAAGUCGGAAUCGCUAGUAAUCGCGGAUCAGCUUGUCGCGGUGAAUACGUUCCCGGGUCUUGUACACACCGCCCGUCACACCAUGGGAGCGGGUUUUACCAGAAGUAGCUAGCCUAACCGC